rnacentral:rRNA from 1 species
AUGCAAUGUGUCUUUUGUCAGCAUGCUGAGACAAUAAAACAUUUGUUCUUUCAAUGUAAAUUGGCUCGUUCUAUAUGGUCAGUCAUCCAAAUAGCUUUUGGCUUGUACCCUCCUUGUAGUGUUGCUAAUAUAUUUGGCAAUUGGUUACAUGGGAUCGAACACAAGUUUAGAACUCUUCUCAGGGUGGGAGCGCUCGCUGUUAUUUGGUUGCUUUGGCUAUGUAGAAAUGAUAAGGUUUUUAAUGAGAAAAGUACAUAUCUUAUGCAGGUUAUCUACAGAUGUACUGGGACACUUUGUUUAUGGUCGUCUCUACAGCGUAUGGAGAAUCACGGUCUCUUUAUGGAGGUCUGUACAUGA